UCAAUCAAAUUGAACAAAACUUUCAACAACGGAUCUCUUGGUUCUGGCAUCGAUGAAGAACGCAGCGAAAUGCGAUAAGUAAUGUGAAUUGCAGAAUUCAGUGAAUCAUCGAAUCUUUGAACGCACAUUGCGCCCUCUGGUAUUCCGGGGGGCAUGCCUGUUCGAGCGUCAUUUCACCACUCA
rnacentral:rRNA from 1 species